rnacentral:rRNA from 1 species
AUGGUGGGCGCGGGUCGAGAGCGCUCCGAGCCUCCUUCCUCGACGCAUGCUGGGAGGGGUGUUGUUAUUCCACCACAGCACCUUCGGAGAGCGCUGGUAGAUGGCAUGCACACACCGGCGGACGCUUCUUCUUCGGCCGGGAGAGGUCGGGGGAAGACGAAGAGGGGUGCAGCUAGAGGUGGACGUGGCGGCGGGAGAGGUAGGAGGGUUGCUGCGCCUUCCUCGCCGCCACCCCCAGCUGAUUCUCCAGACCACCGGAGUGCUCCAUCUCAGGUGGACCCGUCAGACUUGGACCCGUCUCAGACUCCGGUCCAUGAGCCUCGGGCCGACGAGCCUUGGGUCGCCGAGCCUUCUUCCUUGGAGACUCGGGCCCCAGAGUCUUCGUCCCACGGGACUCCGGUCCCAGAGUCUUCGUCCCGCGUGACUCCGGAGACUAGUGGCCAUGCUGAUGGCGAGGACACCUGGUAUGACUGUUGGAAAUAUGCCCUAGAGGCAAUAAUAAAUGGUUAUUAUUAUAUUUCUUUGUUCAUGGUAAUUGUCUAUUAUUCAUGCUAUAAUUGUAUUGUCCGGAAAUCGUGA